GACGUAGGGGGCGAGCGUUGUCCGGAUUUAUUGGGCGUAAAGAGCGCGUAGGCGGCUCGGUAAGCCGGAUGUGAAACCUCCAAGCUCAACUUGGAGCGGCCAUUCGGAACUGCUGUGGCUAGAGUCUGGUAGGGGAACACGGAAUUCCUGGUGUAGCGGUGAAAUGCUUAGAUAUCAGGAGGAACACCAGUGGCGAAGGCGGUGUUCUGGGCCAGUACUGACGCUGAGGCGCGAAAGCGUGGGGAGCGAACAGG
rnacentral:rRNA from 1 species